AGUGAACGCUGGCGGCGUGCCUAAUACAUGCAAGUCGAGCGGACGGACAGGAAGAUCUCUUCUCUGAUGUUAGCGGCUGGCGGAUGAGUAACACGUGGAUAACCUACUUCUUUGACUGGGAUAACUUCGGGAGACCGUAUCUACUACUGGAUAAUAUUUUGAACCGCUUGGUUCAAAGGUUAAAGACGGUCUUCCUGUCACAUAGAGAUGGAUCCGGGUUGCAUUGGCUAGUUGGUACGGUAACGCCUUACCAAGGCAACGAUGCAUAGCUGACCUGAGAGGGUGAUCAGCCACACUGGAACUGAGACACGGUCCAGACUCCUACGGGAGGCAGCAGUGGGGAAUAUUGCGCAAUGGGCGAAAGCCUGACGGAGCAAUACCGCGUGAGUGAUGAAGGUCUUCGGAUCGUAAAGCCCUUUUAUUAGGGAAGAACAUAUGUGUAAUUAACUGUGGACAUCUUGACGGUACCUAAUGAGAAAGCAACGGCUAACUACGUG
rnacentral:rRNA from 1 species